rnacentral:rRNA from 1 species
GACGAACGCUGGCGGCGUGCUUAACACAUGCAAGUCGAACGGAAAGGCCCUUCGGGGUACUCGAGUGGCGAACAGGUGAGUAACACGUGGGUGAUCUGCCCUGCACUCUGGGAUAAGCCUGGGAAACUGGGUCUAAUACCGGAUAUGAUCAUGCGCCUCAUGGUGUGUGGUGGAAAGCUUUUGCGGUGUGGAUGGGCCCGCGGCCUAUCAGCUUGUUGGUGGGGUAAUGGCCUACCAAGGCGACGACGGGUAGCCGGCCUGAGAGGGUGACCGGCCACACUGGGACUGAGAUACGGCCCAGACUCCUACGGGAGGCAGCAGUGGGGAAUAUGGCACAAUGGGCGCAAGCCUGAUGCAGCGACGCCGCGUGGGGGAUGACGGCC